ACGCCGAAGGUAUUGUUGCUCGGAACCGGAAUGGCGACGGGGUGAAAAGGGGAAGCGAGACCACCACAUGCCUCCUCGCCUCCUCCUCCUCCCUCGCGGCGGCCUCUUGCCCCCUCUCCGCCGCCGCUCGCCGGCGCUUUCUCCUCUUCUCCGGAGAACCCCCACGAACAAGCCCCCCGGAUACUUGUUCCUCUCCCCCGUGCGCGCCUUCUCCAGGUACUCCGGCAUGGCGGCAGGUUCACCGGAGCAGCAGCUGCGGAGCGUAGUGGUGAGGGAGACCGUGGAGCUCACAGAGAAGGAGGAGCAAAUCUUCGGGCGGCUUCUUGACGUCGUCCGCCACUUUGGCCUCGGCACGCAGCUCCGAGUCGCCGGCGGCUGGGUCCGGGACAAGCUAUUAGGGAAAGAUUCCGCUGACAUUGACAUUGCCCUUGAUAAUAUGACGGGCCAGAAUUUCUGUGAGAAAGUAAAUGAGUACUUAGAGUUGAUGGGGGAAGAGCAGAAAGGAAUCGGUGUUAUCCAGUGCAACCCUGAUCAAUCGAAGCACUUGGAAACUGCUAGGAUGCUUAUAUUUGACAUCUGGAUUGAUUUUGUUAACUUGAGAUCUGAAACGUAUGCUGAAAACAGUCGUAUUCCUACCAUGGAGGUUGGUACUGCCAAAGAAGAUGCAUACCGCAGGGACUUGACGAUUAAUAGUUUGUUCUUUAACAUCAACAAUAACUCAGUGGAAGAUUUAACUGGAAGAGGUAUUGAGGAUCUCAAAAAGGGCCUUAUUGUUACUCCUUUACCUGCCAAAGAUACCUUCCUUGAUGACCCACUUAGAGUUCUUCGAGCAAUAAGAUUUGCUGCUAGAUUCAACUUUACAUUAGCUGAAGACUUGAAGGAAGCCGCGUCUGAUGAAAGGGUGAAGUCAGAACUUGGUAGCAAGAUUAGUAGAGAACGUAUCGGUCACGAGAUUGAUCUUAUGAUGUCAGACAAACACCCUGUUAGAGCAAUGUGUGACAUCCGUGAUUUGAGGCUAUUUUACGUUGUAUUUUCUUUCCCAGAGAACUCCAACCCUCCAGUUUUUGACAAAUGUGAUUGGCAGUGUGUUUCACGUAUUGAAGCAGCUUGGAAUCUUGCGUAUUCUAUUGGCAGCUCUGUGUUCAGCAGUGGUUCCGAUCCCAAGUUGCAGGAUGAGCAGCGAAGGCUUUACCUGUACAGUGAAUUAUUCGUUCCUCUACGAAAUAUGUUCUACUUCGAUAAAAGAUCUAAGAGGGUUCCUGUGUCUAGCUAUAUUAUUAAACACUCACUAAAGUUGAAAGGUAGCGAUGCUGAAACGGUUGUCAACAUACAUGCUGCUAGUGAAAAGUUUGCUGAGUUAGUUCUUCUCCUUGAGUCAAGGGUUGAUGUGAGAACUCUCAAAGAGAAGCUGGAAGAUGAAUAUCUUGAGAUACCUACAGACAGUGUGAAACGUGUUUGUGCAGGACUUAUACUACGAGAAAUAAAGGACUUUUGGCGAGUGGCACUUCUUGUAUCCAUUCUCUCCUACCCAGAAGCUGAAAAUGCUGCUAACAUCCUCAACAAACAGGAUGAGUUACAUUGGAGAAAAGAGAAAUACAUCAGAGUUGAGCGUGCCAUAACUGACAUAGAUCUUGAUGGGGUGUGGAAGUUGAAGCCAGUACUUGACGGCAAAUCUAUUAUGGGAGUUAUGCAGGUCAAGUCAGGAGGUCCAUUGAUAGGAAAAUGGCAACAACGUGCCCUGAAAUGGCAGCUUGCGCAUCCGAAUGGAACCAUGGAUGAUUGCAUCGAGUGGAUGAAGCAGUCGCAGUCGAAACGCCAAAAACUAGAAUCCAGCACCUGACAGGGGAUGACAUUUUGAGCAUAGAUCUUGAUGGGGUGUGGAAGUUGAAGCCAGUACUCGAUGGCAAAUCUACUAUGGAGUUAUGCUGGUCAAGUCAGGAGGUCCACAGAUAGGAAAAUGGCAACAACGUGCACUGAAAUGGCAGCUUGUGCAUCCGAAUGGAACCACGGAGAGGUGCGAUCGCGGGCUACAUCGCACAAGCAUGCCAAACCUGUCACGGCGCACCUCUUCAUCAUGAAGACCACUCCAUCAUACCAUGGUGUAGCAGCAAGCAAUGAGCCAUCGGCGUUUAUGGAUUUCAUUUCACUCCAGUAGACAUGCUUUCAGUUUAUUAAACUUGUGUGCUUGUUGGCAAGGAAACAA